rnacentral:piRNA from 1 species
AUUUCUGAGAAAAGAGAAAGAGACAA